UACGUAGGGGGCUAGCGUUGUCCGGAUUUAUUGGGCGUAAAGAGCGUGUAGGCGGCCAGAUAGGUCUGCUGUGAAAACUCGAGGCUCAACCUCGAGCUGUCGGCGGAAACCAUUUGGCUAGAGUCCGGAAGAGGAAAGUGGAAUUCCUGGUGUAGCGGUGAAAUGCGCAGAUAUCAGGAAGAACACCCGUGGCGAAGGCGGCUUUCUGGGACGGUACUGACGCUGAGACGCGAAAGCGUGGGGAGCAAACAGG
rnacentral:rRNA from 1 species